rnacentral:tRNA from 1 species
GCUACUUAGCUCAAUGGUUGGAGAGUCACCCAUGAAAGUUGAGGUUGGGGGUUUGAUUCCUUCAGUAUGCA